GGGUUGUGAGGUUAAGCGACUAAGCGUACACGGUGGAUGCCCUGGCAGUCAGAGGCGAUGAAGGACGUGCUAAUCUGCGAAAAGCGUCGGUAAGGUGAUAUGAACCGUUAUAACCGGCGAUGUCCGAAUGGGGAAACCCAGUGUGAUUCGUCACACUAUCGUUAACUGAAUACAUAGGUUAACGAGGCGAACCGGGGGAACUGAAACAUCUAAGUACCCCGAGGAAAAGAAAUCAACCGAGAUUCCCCCAGUAGCGGCGAGCGAACGGGGAGCAGCCCAGAGUCUGAAUCAGCUUGUGUGUUAGUGGAACGGUCUGGAAAGUCCGACGGUACAGGGUGAUAGUCCCGUACACCAAAAUGCACAGGUUGUGAACUCGAAGAGUAGGGCGGGACACGUGGUAUCCUGUCUGAAUAUGGGGGGACCAUCCUCCAAGGCUAAAUACUCCUGACUGACCGAUAGUGAACCAGUACCGUGAGGGAAAGGCGAAAAGAACCCCGGCGAGGGGAGUGAAAAAGAACCUGAAACCGUGUACGUACAAGCAGUGGGAGCACCUUCGGGUGUGACUGCGUACCUUUUGUAUAAUGGGUCAGCGACUUAUAUUCUGUAGCAAGGUUAACCGUAUAGGGGAGCCGCAGGGAAACCGAGUCUUAACUGGGCGUUAAGUUGCAGGGUAUAGACCCGAAACCCGGUGAUCUAGCCAUGGGCAGGUUGAAGGUUGGGUAACACUAACUGGAGGACCGAACCGACUAAUGUUGAAAAAUUAGCGGAUGACUUGUGGCUGGGGGUGAAAGGCCAAUCAAACCGGGAGAUAGCUGGUUCUCCCCGAAAGCUAUUUAGGUAGCGCCUCGUGAACUCAUCUUCGGGGGUAGAGCACUGUUUCGGCUAGGGGGUCAUCCCGACUUACCAACCCGAUGCAAACUACGAAUACCGAAGAAUGUUAUCACGGGAGACACACGGCGGGUGCUAACGUCCGUCGUGAAGAGGGAAACAACCCAGACCGCCAGCUAAGGUCCCAAAGUCAUGGUUAAGUGGGAAACGAUGUGGGAAGGCACAGACAGCCAGGAUGUUGGCUUAGAAGCAGCCAUCAUUUAAAGAAAGCGUAAUAGCUCACUGGUCGAGUCGGCCUGCGCGGAAGAUGUAACGGGGCUAAACCAUGCACCGAAGCUGCGGCAGCGACACUAUGUGUUGUUGGGUAGGGGAGCGUUCUGUAAGCCUGCGAAGGUGUGCUGUGAGGCAUGCUGGAGGUAUCAGAAGUGCGAAUGCUGACAUAAGUAACGAUAAAGCGGGUGAAAAGCCCGCUCGCCGGAAGACCAAGGGUUCCUGUCCAACGUUAAUCGGGGCAGGGUGAGUCGACCCCUAAGGCGAGGCCGAAAGGCGUAGUCGAUGGGAAACAGGUUAAUAUUCCUGUACUUGGUGUUACUGCGAAGGGGGGACGGAGAAGGCUAUGUUAGCCGGGCGACGGUUGUC
rnacentral:rRNA from 1 species